GCCAAACUAGCUCAUUUGGAAGAGUGUUAGACUAAAGAUCUAAAGGUUUCCUGGUUCAAUCCCAGGUUUUGGCA